rnacentral:rRNA from 1 species
UACAGAGGUCCCAAGCGUUGUUCGGAUUCACUGGGCGUAAAGGGUGCGUAGGUGGUUAGGCAAGUCGGAUGUGAAAGCUCGGAGCUCAACUCCGAAAUGGCAUUGGAAACUACCUUGCUCGAGGGUUGGAGGGGGGACUGGAAUGCUUGGUGUAGCAGUGAAAUGCGUAGAUAUCAAGCGGAACACCAGUGGCGAAGGCGAGUCCCUGGACAACUCCUGACACUGAGGCACGAAAGCUAGGGGAGCAAACAGG